AAAGAAAAAUAAUGUUUGAAAACCUUUCGGUAACCUGUCACCUUUCAGUGACAGCAGCUCAAAUUAUGCUUCCAAUUUAAUUAUCACCAGGCCCUAACAAACUUAUAUAUUUUUUUCAUGAAUCGUGCACUCAAAUUGGCGUUGCUCUUCGUAAAUGGUGUGGUUUUAGUGCAGUUUAUCAUUGUAAUUUUCGGAGCAAUAUAUUACAAGAACUUGGCUGCCGGCUUGAUCGGAUUGGCCGGAACGGCGAUAUCAGCUUUGGGCUUUUUCGGAACACUAUGGGAAAAUUCUGAGAUGUUAGUAUUCUAUGUGGUCAUGAUUGUCAUGUUUUUCUUCUGGGAGGGCUUCGUCAAGACUGCUCAGUCUGUCUAACAUAGGUUAAGGUUGUGCAUUUCCAAAUUUUUCGUGAUGGCCAAAUUCAGUGACAUAGUGCGUAUUUGCUUUUUGGGAUUUAACCUGCUGGUGAUGAUGAAGUGUUACUCUUCAAUGGACCAAAUCAAUGACACAGUAUCCAUGAUACAUUAUGGGCUGAUGUUCCUUUUAGGAUUUAUCGGGGCGUAUGCAGCUCUGGUUGAACAAAAAGCUGUUAUGUUGUCGUAUAUUGUUGUCUUCCUUUUGUGGUCCUUGCAGGAAGAAGGACACAAGGCACAGAUUGAGGCUAGCUAGAUUUCACCACGUCAUCAUACACAAACAAUAAUGCAACGUGAACGUAACUAUGAAUAUUCAUUGUGACUGACAACUGACAAUUCGAAUAAUGUAGAAAUGUUUUAUUAAAAAUUAAUGAUCCCCGUUACAAGUGUUUCGAUUUAUGACGUCCUGGCACUCAUUGCUUUAGUCAGCUCCUCUUCGGAAUUGUAGUGACAAUCUUUGGCGUUUUGGGCCUUAUAGCGUUUUAUACGGACAAUCCUUGUGUCAAAAUUUUGUGGGGCGCUGCUCUGGUCAUUUGUAUUUUUAUGAUUUAUGUGCAAGAUAUUUUAUAAAUUGUCAUGAAGACGUUCAAGAAGUUUGCAAAGUUCGUCAUGAUUUUGUACAACACUAUUCUGUUGAUCGUAGGACUUACCACUUUGAUUACACCCUCCGAGUACAUUGAAGACUUUCUGUUUAAGCUGCCGGUGGUCAUUUACAGUCUUUUGGGCCUUUACUCCGUGUUGUGCAAGAAGGUGUUCCCCGUUGUCAUGUACGCCACUUUAACUGUAUUUAUUGCUAUUGAUUUUUUGCUUUGGGAGGAUAUAUAGAUGCUCAAAAAUGUAAUAAAUAUUUGAUGUGA